UCUACGCUCUACACAUCUCGGUACCGGCCGCAGCUCAUCCUAGUACAGCUCGCACCCGCCGCGUCCGGCACCUGCUCCGGCGACUCUCACCGCCGGCCCGAUGGCCCCUCGCCCCGCACCCAUUCCGGCAUGGUCAAGCUCCUCUCCGACCUCCUCCACGACGUCCCGCCCGCGCCCUGCACCGGCCUCGCCCGCCGCCGCCCACGUCUCCUCUCGCUCCUCCCGCUCCUGCCCCCCUACACCGUCUCCCCGCACUGGCUCUCCCUCCCCGCGCUUUCGGUCCUAUUCCCACGCCGUCCGUCUCUCCAUCUUCCCCGCAGGCCGCAUCGCUCCGAACCAGUAUGCGGCUUCCCACAUAUGACAUAUCGUUCCCCCUUGCUCAGUUUCGUCAGCUCACCCUUGCCCGUGUCCUGUUCGAUGAAAUGCCGCAGUCUGGUGUUCGCCUGGAUGAGUAUGCUUACCGGGCUGGGAUUCGGGUUUACUGCGAGGCAGGGAAUCUCACGGCGCCGAGAUGCUCGCGGGGAGGAUUGGGGGUCAAGGUCAGCAUUGUGGCGUAUGUACUGCUGUAUGGAUUGUGCAAGAAUCAACGCAUUCAGAAGGCAGCGGAGCCGCGGAGGUAAAGAAUAACAUGGCGGUGACUGGUGAGGAGUUGCAGCUGAUGAGAUGACUUACCCGGAGCUGCUGUAUGGGUUUUGUUGGACGGAGGAGCUGUAAAUGACAUUGAGAAUGACAUGCCCAGGCUUGCUUUCGUGCCAUCAUCAGAGGUCAAUUGCUCAUUUAUGCUUGAUGGGCUAAGAAAGAGGAGGGAGGUUGAGGAGGCUUUCAGGUUAGCUUCUUAGUUGAGCGAGUUCGGUAUGGCGAUGAACAUAUUUGCGUGCAAUGCAUUGCCUGAUAACCUGUUCAAGAACGGUAUGUUUGGUGGGGCAGACAGGCUUUUCAGUGAGAUGUUAGACAGGGGUCUGGUGCCAAAUGAGGUGACUUAUCCUAUAUGACACAUGCACUUUGCAAAAGGGGCAUGGUGGAGGAUACGCUUCAUAUGUUUCAUAGGUUGCGGGAGAAGGGAGUCAGACUGACCGUUUAUGCGUACAUUUCCGUAAUUAAUGAUUGCUACAAAACAGGAGGAUUUGGACAUGGCAGACGGACUUUCUGGGGGAGAUAGCUAAGAUAGGAGUGACACUGAAUGUAGCUUCAUAUUCUCCACUCAUUGCUGGUCUCGGUAGAGAAGGGGGUAUGUCCAGUGCCAUGAAACUCCGCCGGGAGACGGCUGAGAAGGGUGUUUGAUGGACUACUUAUACUGCAUGGAUUCUGCAGAGAAGGAAGAUUGAGCGAAACAUACGAUGUUUGGAAUGAGUGGCAAUGUGGGGAGUCAAGCUUGAUCUUGUCAGCUUUAUCAUUAUUGUGUAUGCAGCUUUGAAACAUCAUGAUACAGAAAAAUCAUGCGUAUUACUGAGGGAUAUGAAAUGAAAAAGUGUGAUGCCAGACAAUGUUUUCCAUACAUGCAUGAUUGACAUGCACUCAGAAGAAGGAAUUAUGGUUAAUGCAUUAAACUGUUGAGAUAAGAUGAUUCUGGUAAAUAAUUCUGCAAUUCAGGGCAUUUGAGCAGCGCAGAGCUCCUUUGUAAAUAAAUGAUCAUAUCAUUCUAGCUCGAAUGUCUUGAGCCGAGGCUCCCCUUUUGCUCCAUGUUCCCCAAUACGCUUACCAGCAAAUAGGAGAUAUGCAUCUCUGAUUGCAUGCAUCUCUGCUGCUGCAUUUCUUAUCAACGUCCGCUCUCGAGGCUGUGCCUUUGAGCAGGAUAUGCCAAGCCUGAAGACAGAAAGCAAGCACUCCUGGAUUCUACUACUGGUAAUAUCAUCCUUUGGUUCUCCAUGCAGCCAGAUUGUUGGGUCAGCUAUCUCCAAGGUUCUGUCAGGAAGAGCAUCCUCGACAAAUUUAUGCAGAUCCAGUGAAUCCCCAAAUGUUUCAUCUAUUGGGCUUCUUCCAGUAAACAUCUCAAGCAGUAAUAUGCCAAGACUAUAAAUAUCACCAUGAGUGGAUACCACAGAGCCUUCUCCAUACUCUACAGUUAUGCAAAGUUUUGUGGUUAGCAUGCCAUAUUUGAGUGAAAAGUAAAAGAUACUAAUAUUCAAGAAUUUCAGUCACCUGGAGCAACAUAGCCUAUGGAGCCUCUUAUUCCAAUUGAGCUAUAUGAAUUUUGCAUUCCCCCGCUUGUAUUUUCUUGAAGGAUCCUUGAUAUGCCAAAGUCUCCAACUCGGGCGCUCAUGUUGUCAGAAAGAAGAAUGUUGCUUGGCUUAAGGUCGCAAUGGAUUACCGAUGGUUGACAGUAGUUGUGCAGAUAUUCUACUGCGUCCACAAUAUCGACACCAAUAUCAAGUCUCUGGGCAAGGCUGAGUGUGUUGCUUGUAGUGGGCUCUUGAGAUUUUGGAUGAAGCCAACCAGCCAAGUUACCGUUGGGCAUGAACUCAAAAAUCAAUGCCUUGAACUCUUGACCUUGCUGGUUGAUGCUUGAACAAGAGGUAAUGAUCUUAACGAGACAACGGUGCCGUAUCCUUCUCAUGGCUUCACAUUCAGUCUCAAAACUCUUGGAAUACCUAGAUUGACCAAGAUUAAACACCUUGACAGCCCAUGUUCUUUCCUCAUUGUCCAAGACACACUUAUAAACCGCUCCAUAACUUCCUCUCCCAAGUAAGUUGACUUCUGAAAAUUCAUUAGUUCCUCUCAAUAAUACUUGAUAGGGAAUUCUCUGGUAAUGGUCAUCAACAAUUAAAUUUUGUGAUAAUGUCUUGUGGCUUUGUUUGAGCCUCUUGCAAAGUAUCCAAACAAGAAGAAUAAGUGAAAGUGACAACAAGAUUGCUCCGGCUGUUGCUAGAGAAAUUACAAGAGACUUUUGCAUCUUCUUUUUGUUCUUGCUUAAGGGGCUUAUGGAGCAUGGAGCCAAAUGAAGUUGAGGUGUACCUCCACACAAAUUGGCAUUCCCAUCAACUGCUAAGUACAGUUCCUGCAGGUUUCCAAUGCUAGCAAGGGCAUCAGGAAUAUCACCAGAUAACUUAUUCAUGGUCAGGUUCAGUAUACUGAGCCCCUUUAUAUUCUUCAGUGACUGAGAUAACUGGUUUCCUGCUAGAAUUAGUAUGUUAAGGUUUGCCAAGCUACCAACAUCAUUAGGAAUGGCCCCAGAAAAUGAAUUGUAUGACAAGUCCAAGUACCAAGAUAGGCUGGAUAAUCUAAAAAUAUCUCUGGGAAUCGAACCGUUAAGUUUGUGAUUCUUUGACAAGUCAAGUACAAAGAGGUUUUUCAA